rnacentral:rRNA from 1 species
GAUGAACGCUGGCGGCGUGCCUAAUACAUGCAAGUCGAGCGAACAGAUGAGGAGCUUGCUCCUCUGACGUUAGCGGCGGACGGGUGAGUAACACGUGGAUAACCUACCUAUAAGACUGGGAUAACUUCGGGAAACCGGAGCUAAUACCGGAUAAUAUAUUGAACCGCAUGGUUCAAUAGUGAAAGACGGUUUUGCUGUCACUUAUAGAUGGAUCCGCGCCGCAUUAGCUAGUUGGUAAGGUAACGGCUUACCAAGGCAACGAUGCGUAGCCGACCUGAGAGCGUGAUCAGCCACACUGGAGCUGAGACACGGUCCAGACUCCGACGGGAGGCAGCAGUAGGGAAUCUUCCGCAAUGGGCCAAAGCCUGACGGAGCAACGCCGCGUGAGUGAUGAAGGUCUUCGGAUCGUAAAACUCUGUUAUUAGGGAAGAACAAAUGUGUAAGUAACUAUGCACGUAUUGACGGUACCUAAUCAGAAAGCCACGGCUAACUACGUG